rnacentral:rRNA from 1 species
GAUGAACGCUAGCGGCAGGCUUAACACAUGCAAGUCGAGGGGCAGCGCUUUGGUUAGAUUCUUCGGAUGAAGACCUUUGUGACUGAGCGGCGGACGGGUGAGUAACGCGUGGGUAACCUGCCUCAUACAGGGGGGAUAACAGUUAGAAAUGACUGCUAAUACCGCAUAAGACCACAGUACCGCAUGGUACAGGGGUAAAAACUCCGGUGGUAAUGAGAUGGAACCCGCGUCUGAUUAGCUGGUUGGUGGGGUAACGCCUACCAAGGCGACGAUCAGUAGCCGGCCUG